UACGAAGGGGGGCUAGCGUUGCUCGGAAUCACUGGGCGUAAAGGGCGCGUAGGCGGCCAUUCAAGUCGGAGGUGAAAGCCCAGGGCUCAACCCUGGAAUUGCCUUCGAUACUGUCUGGCUAGAGACCGGAAGAGGUAAGUGGAACUGCGAGUGUAGAGGUGAAAUUCGUAGAUAUUCGCAAGAACACCAGUGGCGAAGGCGGCUUACUGGUCCGGUUCUGACGCUGAGGCGCGAAAGCGUGGGGAGCAAACAGG
rnacentral:rRNA from 1 species